GCCCUGGUAGCUCAGUCGGUAGAGCAAGGGACUGAAAAUCCCUCUGUCGGUGGUUCGAUUCCGCCCUAGGGCACCA
rnacentral:tRNA from 2 species